AGAGAUCUAGUUUAUAUAAAAUUCAGGUUUGUCAGGCCCGAGAAGUCAGUUAUGACGAUUUCUA
rnacentral:tRNA from 1 species